UACGUAGGGUGCGAGCGGUAAUCGGAAUUACUGGGCGUAAAGUGUGCGCAGGCGGCCGAGCAAGUCGAGUGUGAAAGCCCCGAGCUUAACUUGGGAACUGCGCUCGAAACUACUUGGCUAGAGUGUGGCAGAGGGAGGUGGAAUUCCACGUGUAGCGGUGAAAUUCGUAGAUAUUGGGAAGAACACCGAUGGCGAAGGCAGCCAUCUGGACCGACACUGACGCUGAGGCGCGAAAGCGUGGGGAGCAAACAGG
rnacentral:rRNA from 1 species